CCACUGUGCUCCAGCCUGGGAGACAGAGUGAGACUUUGUCUCCAAAAAGUAAAAUAAUAUAAUAUAAAAUUCCAGGCAAGCAGCUUCAGGAAGUCUAUCAUGGAAUCACAGGUUCUCUCCAGUUGUAAUAAGAAGUCAAGAGGAUAUAGUGGGUUGAAUUGUGUCCCCAAAAAGGUGUGUCCAAGUCCUAAUCCCUAUACCUGUGAAUGUGAUCUUAUUCAGAAAUAAAAUAUUUGCAGAUGUAAUUGAGGAUCUCAUCUUGAGAUCCUUAAUGCAGUGCAAUUAUAGCUGAGUGGGCCCUAAACCCAAUGACUGGUGUCCUUAUAAGAAAAGGGAGAUUUGAGAUAUUGAGACACACAUAGGCGAAGAUCAUGUGAAGACAGAGACAGAGCUUGGAAUGUUGUUGCCACAAGCUAAGGAGUGCCAAGCAUUGCCAGCAGACACCAGAAGCUAGGAGAGAGGGAUGGAAUGGAUUCUCCCUGGGGGUCCCCCAGAAGGAAUCAGCCCUCCUGACACCUUGGUUUUAGCCUUGUGGCAUCUAAAACUGUGAGAAAAUUAACUUCUGUUAUUUAAACCACCAAGUUUGUGGUAAUUGGUUGCAGCAGCCCUAGGAAAUUAAUGUAGAGGGGAACCUGCAAGGGCCCAGCCUGAAAAAGGAACUAGAGACCUAGGUAGGUUACCAGAGCGGAACCCAAGAUACUAGGACCGAGGGCUCCUGGAGAGAGACACUUGCAUAUAAGGCAGAAGCUAAAUUCUAAGGACCUACGUACAAUGACAAAGUCUAAAUACAAAAGACGGUGACAGGACUUGGUAGAAGGUCCAAGCAGAACCCAUUUGUAGCAGAAAAUGGGGCAGGGAUAGGCCUGAAAAUCCACAUCAAGUGUCCUCAUCUAUGGGAAGGAAAAGCUCUAAAUAGACCAGAAACUGAAACAGGGUAGUGGUGUUGUUGUUGUUGUUGUUGUUGUUUUGUUGUUGUUGUUGUUUUAAAAGCAGAGACAAAGUCUCGCUAUAUUGCCCAGGCUGGUCUCAAACUCAUGGGCUCAAGCAAUCCUACCACCUCAGCCUCCCAAAGUGCUGGGAUUACAGGCAUGAGCCACUAUACCCAGCAGGAUUUGGGUUUUAAAAGGUCAAUCAACAACUUCAUCUUUCUUCCCUAAGAUUGGAACCAAUUGAGAAAUAAGAUAUAGGAUGCCAACAGAUGGAGAACAGUUUCUAUUAUUAAAUGUAGCCUCUGUUAAUGCUAAAGCC
rnacentral:lncRNA from 1 species